GUCUUCAUUUUGAGGAGAUGGCCCCUGGAUCUGCAUAUGGCUUCGAACCACAGCUGGUAACAUCUGCAAACUUGUGACUUGGUCAGGUGCCACCACUGAUGAAGGCUCCAGCAUAACCCCUGAGCUCCAUAGCAUCUCCACUCCUCAACAAAAAAUAACAAAGCUCAGCCUUCAGGAGAAAAGCUGCUCUCUCUUCCAUACCAGGAGUUCUCAGUCCAAGAAAGAGCCAGCAACAGAGACACUAGUAUGUUUUUUGCUUGCUAUUGAAAAGAAAAAGAACAAGGGCAAAGGGAAAAACUCAGAGAACUUUGUUCAACUCCUAAAAUGGUCCCUAGCUGAAUGGGUUUGGCAUAAAGGGUACAGCUGGAGAGAGGGAGAGACAGAGAUUCUCCUUUGUUUUGGACUUUCAGAUGGACCAAAGACUUGUGCUUCAGAAAAGCUGUGCUUCUCUCCCAAAGGCCAUCCUUCGCUUCUGUUAUGCCUCGUUGCCUUGCCUCCCUACAUGAGAGAAAACCCCCAACAAUAUCGUCUCCCUCGAGCUCCAAGAAAACAGGUAAUGAUGCAUGGAUGUGCAAUGAAAUUUCAGAAAUGUGCACUGACUUUUUAUAAAUAUGCCAACUGUCAAAUAAAAAAAUAAAAUAAAAAAUCAGGCCUAGCCAAUAUCUAAACCGUGAAGUCCUCAAUAGCACCAACUCUGAACUGCAGUUUCUGUUACAGCACAGCAACUUUCCCAACAUUUUUUUGUUUAUUUUUUACCCCCAAAAUAUGACCUCGUCCUUGACCCAAAAGAUGGUUUGCUUAUAAUUGUUAGUCUGUCAUCAGCCUGCUGCUGAUCCACUGCCAGCAGCCAUGAAUGUGCUGCGUAUAAGGUUUUUAUAGGUUUUCCUAUUUGAAAAGCCUUGUAAAAAGAUAACUUUGGUUGUAUAAUGACCUGGCCACGUAUACAGAGCUGUCCAUCAUGAAGGACUCUGUAUUUUGUGCUUACCUGGAGACAAAGUGGUGGUGAUACCUUCUGAGCCAGGUACGGGAGCUGAGCUGUGCAUGUAAAGACAUAGACAGGUCCAUAGAAAUAUGUGUAAAUUCUCUGCGUUGAGUCACAUUGGUUUCCAUUUUCCUAUAGAUAUAUGUAUUUAUGGCUGUACCAUACGCUGCAUAUCCAAAGGUUUACUAUCAAGUGGAUGCGCAAAUUGAGAUAGCUGCUCACCAUCUCUAGUGGGUGUACAUAUACAUACAUAUGUAAGCAGAUGAAUGAAAAUAUAUACGUUUCAUUUUUGCUCAAGACCCCUUUUUUCAAAUACCCUACAAAUAAUUGUAGAAGGUAAAUACGUAUGUGAGUGUGUGUGUGUAUAAACCCGCAGGUGUGUUUGCAUUCUCCUGCUCACACACCCACCAGUGCUGUCUGAGCAAUAUACAAAUAAUACCCAUUAUAUAUGUUAGAGCAUGCACGUUGUGUGCACGCACCUGGGUACAAAUGCUGAGCCCUGGCGUGGCCCCGGCGGCUGCUGGGCAAGCAGCAGGGCUGCUCAGCAAGCCCCAGGCAGGGCAGGGAACAGGCAAAUCAACGCCAGCAGAGAGGCUGUGGGGGUAGAUGCUGGUGGGUGGCGAGGCCGAGCCCGGUGGCUGCGCGGGCUUGCUCA
rnacentral:lncRNA from 1 species